rnacentral:rRNA from 1 species
GAUGAACGCUGGCGGCGUGCCUAAUACAUGCAAGUCGAGCGAACAGGCGAGGAGCUUGCUCCUCUGACGUUAGCGGCGGACGGGUGAGUAACACGUGGAUAACCUACCUAUAAGACUGGGAUAACUUCGGGAAACCGGAGCUAAUACCGGAUAAUAUAUUGAACCGCAUGGUUCAAUAGUGAAAGACGGUUUUGCUGUCACUUAUAGAUGGAUCCGCGCCGCAUUAGCUAGUUGGUAAGGUAACGGCUUACCAAGGCAACGAUGCGUAGCCGACCUGAGAGGGUGAUCGGCCACACUGGAACUGAGACACGGUCCAGACUCCUACGGGAGGCAGCAGUAGGGAAUCUUCCGCAAUGGGCGAAAGCUUGACGGAGCAACGCCGCGUGAGUGAUGAAGGUCUUCGGAUAGUAAAACUCUGUUAUUAGGGAAGAACAAAUGUGUAAGUAACUAUGCACGUCUUGACGGUACCUAAUCAGAAAGCCACGGCUAACUACGUG